AUGACGUGUGCCUGUAACUGGAACUUAGCCUGAUUGAGAAAAAAAGCCCCUCCAUCCAUGAGAAUGAGCUGACUGCUGCCAUGACGUGCCUCUAACUGGAACUUAGCCUGAUUGAGAAAAAAAGCCCCUCCAUCCAUGAGAAUGAGCUGACUGCUGCCAUGACAUGUGCCUCUAACUGGAACUUAGCCUGAUUGAGAAAAAAAGCCCCUCCAUCCAUGAGAACGAG